UAUUAUUUAAAAUGUAAAAUGAAGUGAAGCUUGGGUAGUAAUAGAUAAGAUCUUGAAACUCAAAGAAUUUGGCGGUGUUUUAGUCUUUUCAGAGGAAUCUGUCCCAUAAUUGAUAAUACACGAAUAAUUCGAUUUAGUUUUGUAAUUUCAAUUUGUAUACCGCCGUCAUCAGAUUAUCUUUAUAGAGAAUAAUAGUCAAAAGUCUUUAUUAGGAAAAAUGUCAGGUCAAGGUGCAGUUUAUAACUAAAAGGAGAUGGAUUACAAUAAAAUAAUUUAUAUGGAAAUUAAAAUGAAAAAUUUAGUUGAAGGUGGAUUUGAAAGUAAUAUUAGAAUAUUAAUAAUUUGAUUAUAGCUCUAGAACAUGCACAUAUCGCCCGUCGCUCUCGUUAUUAAGAUGAG
rnacentral:rRNA from 1 species